rnacentral:rRNA from 1 species
CGGACGGGUGAGUAACGCGUGGGAACCUGUCGCGCGGUGGGGGAUACCGCCGGGAAACCGGCGCUAAUACCGCAUGAGGUCGCAGCAAUGCGAGCAAAGCCGAAAGGCGCCGUGUGAGGGGCCCGCGUCCGAUUAGCUAGUUGGUGGGGUAAUGGCCUACCAAGGCGACGAUCGGUAGCUGGUCUGAGAGGAUGGUCAGCCACACUGGGACUGAGACACGGCCCAG